rnacentral:lncRNA from 1 species
CCUCGAGACCGGGUGUUGUGGGGAAGCUCUGUACACCAUCGCAGCCAGGGUAGAGGGGACUCCCCCCACCGGGGGGGGGGGGAGACACAUCGAGCCUGGGUGUCCAGCGGGGAGCUCUGUACACCACAGCACUGAGGGCAGACGGGACUCUCCCCUCCGUGAGCCAGACGCCUCCAGCUCGGGUGUGUGGCGGGAGCUCUGUACACAACCGCACCAGAGCAGAGGGGACUCCCCGCUCUGGGGGCGAGACGCCUUGAGCCCAGGUGUCAGGGGGGAGCUCUGUAUACCACCGCACCCAGGGCAGAGGGAACUGCCCCCUCCAGGGGUGAGAUGCCUCAAGCCCGGGGGGCAGGGGAGCUCUGUAUACCACUGAACAAAGGGCAGAGGGGACUCCCCCCCCCUCUGGGGGCAAGACGCCUUGAGACCGGGUGUCUGGGGGGACCUCUGUACAGCACCUGACCAAUGGCAGAGAAGACCCCACCUCAGGGGGGCGAGAUGCCUGGAUCCCGGGUGUCUGGGAGGAGCUCUGUACAAAACUGCACCGAGGGCAGAGGGUACUCUCCCCUCAGGGUGCGAGAUGCCUGGAGCCCGGUUGUCCUGGGGAGCUCUGUACACCAUGGCACCCAGAGUAGAGGGGACUCCCCCAUUCAGGGAGGAGAAGUCUCAAGCUCAGGUGUCAGGGGGGAGCUCUGUACAACCUUGCAUCCAGGGUAGAGAGGACUUUCUCCUCCAGGGCCAGAUGCCUUGAGCCCAGGUGUGGGUGGGAGU